UCUCUCUCUCUCUCUCUCUCUCUCUCUCUCUCUCUCUCUCUCUCUCUCCACAUCAUUAUUUACCUCUUUUCAAUUUUAUCUUGUUUUUUCCUCCAUUAUUUUUUUGCAUCAAUUUUGAAUUUCACUCUAGGGUGGGGUAGGUGAGAGAGAUUGUGCAGCCUAAACCAUGCUCGAAGAUAUCACUUUAUCCCAUAUAAGUUUUUACUCAAUUGGCACACGUUAUAUAUGAUCCACAUCUGAGACUGAACCUUGGGUCUAUGUAUACCUUCUCCUCUAAGUCUCCAUGCAAGAGCACUUUUUUUUACAUUAAACUGAUCAGUUCUCACCCAGAGACAACAAAAGAUAGUAAAAUCCAAAAAGUUUUCAAAUUUGUCUUUGGAAAAAAUUGUCUCGUCAUAAUUAAUGUCAUAGAUUGUGGACCCUGUUGGUGCACACAGAGGAAGAGUUGUCAUUCACCCACAAUAGGUUCUGCCAUUGAAAAAGAACAGAAACACAUUAGCUACUGCUGAAAGGAAUAAUAGCGGUAAAAAAUUACCCACAAAAAGUAACUCAGAAUAUUGUUUUGACCUCCGAAGACGAGGUGGUAACAAGAAAACUUGGAAAAUUUUGUGGCGGACAGCAGGGCAUCGCAUGGAUGCCACGCAUCGGAAACGGAAGUCUAUUGUGGCGGUGCAUGUUGGUGCGUCUGCUGGGCUCUGGGACCACUCACUUAUGAGAUCUAGCCGAUCCAAGGAUGACAAACAUCUGGAUGUGGUUGCUGGCGCGAAAGCAAUGGCUGACAGCGGUAAACGGUGGCUGUGUGCAACAAACAACAACGGACAAGAACUUGUUUGACCAACAGGAAAUAAAUGGGUACCGAAUGUCCCAAAGGGCUACCAAGUAGGCAGCAAAGAAAGACCAUAAUGUAGGCGGCUAGGAUUUUUAUGCUGGAGCAAGGCCCUCUAAAUCAGGAGCUCCUGAUAUCAUGUGAAAAAAUAUUUCUGAUAUAAUUUCAGUUGUGAAUAGAGUACUCAUAAUUACACAUAAUUAUAGAAUGAGGAAUGCCAGGGACACUCUCUUUUCAACACUCUCUUCAACACUCAUUUUCUUAUUGGAUAAAAUCAAUGUAUGACCCACCACUUUGAGUGGAACCCAUUUCCAAAGUGUGAAACCCACCAUGAUUUAAGCCAAUUAAAAAGUGAGUGUUGGAGAGAGUGUUGCUAGCAUUUCUCUUAUAGAAUACAUGUCUAUUUACAACCAUAUGAUAUUCUUUCUGUGGCCACCCACAAUGUUGAACUCCCUAAAUUUCAUGCUCCAAAUGUGCUAUGUUCGGUGUGUAUGUUAGAGGGGGGAUAUUUGGAUCAGACAUAAGCUAGGUUAGUCCAUGAUAUCAACUUUUGAGAACCAAUUCUUCAUAUACUUGUGGUGUACAAAGGAAUGAAUUGAAGAUAUUGAAAUAUCUACUCUUUUA